rnacentral:rRNA from 1 species
CAGCCGCCGCGGGAACACAGAGGGUGCGAGCGUUAAUCGGAUUUACUGGGCGUAAAGCGUGCGUAGGCGGCUUUUUAAGUCGGAUGUGAAAUCCCUGAGCUUAACUUAGGAAUUGCAUUCGAUACUGGGAAGCUAGAGUAUGGGAGAGGAUGGUAGAAUUCCAGGUGUAGCGGUGAAAUGCGUAGAGAUCUGGAGGAAUACCGAUGGCGAAGGCAGCCAUCUGGCCUAAUACUGACGCUGAGGUACGAAAGCAUGGGGAGCAAACAGGAUUAGAUACCCCCGUAGUCCUGUCUCUUAUACC